AACCAAUCAUCUUCCUCCUUUAGUCCAGGCUCUAGCCAAUUACGCUCGCCCUCUUAGGCCCUUACCCCGCCCCCCAAAAUCACGACAGCCGUUGGGUCAUAAGUCUAUAGGGCAGGGUGUUCACGUGGCUUCCUUUCACGACCCAGAGUUCCCCUGACCAGAGGUUUCCCCCCGCCCCCCACUGCAGGGAGGCAUUAUGGGUUUUUUUUCCCCCAGUGGGAAAGGAAGUGUCUACGUGGCCUGCGGAAACAGGCUGGGCGGAAAUGAGGAGUAAAAGCUUCAACUAUCUAAAAGAUCAUCAAAGUGAAAUGCCUCCUGUGAGAUGAUGCCAACUACCUUCUUGGUUUGCCCAGGACUGAAGGCUUCCUGAGACUUGGGACUUUCAGUGCUACAAUAGAAUAAGGGCACCUCUCAGACUGAAGGAACAGCAGGGCCCAGAGAGAGGCUCUAGAAAUGGAUUAACUCUGCAUCAGCUUAUCCAGCCUGCUCCAUGACCUCCCCAAUUCCCACUACAGUUCCACUGAGAUGGCAAUGGCUGUAGGAAACUUGAAGAAGGACAUGGACUAAUGGUACAGGUUUUGAUUUUCAGGUGACCACUCUACUGUAGGAGAAAUGGGGUUAACAAACAGGAGUGAGGGAGAACAACAGUCCACACCCAACAACUCUGACCCGCCCAUUGAAGAGCAAGGCGAAGAAAUCCAACAGCCAGAAGAGUCUAGUAGUGAUUUUUCAGUUCCAUUUUAGCUAUGGAAACACUUUGAUCACACUCCCCCAGCCUGACCCUUGAAUUCUUAACCACCAAUCAGUGUAUGACCUGGGGUGUGGGGAGAGAUGGGAGCAACCAUUAUAAUUCUCCUAAUACUGGCUAGUAUUUUUUUCAGUGCUUAGUAUGUGUCAGCCACUGUGCCCAUGCUCUUAAUCAUCCUACUAGACUGCCCUACAGGGACUAAUGUCCCAUUGGACAGAUAAGGAAACGGAGUCAAAGAGGUUAAAGUACUCAGCUUAUCUGUGACCAGCCUGGCACAGGAAUCUAGGGGUUCUGAUGGCCCGUCUAGUCCUUGCAGGCCUAGGUUGUGUCUAGGUUUGUGGGAGAAGGGGGUAGGGAGGAAGGUGCCAAUGGGGGAGGGAAAUGGGCCCCUCCCUAGUUAUACUCACCAUGCGUUGGCACUUCUGCCUUCUUCGAAGUUGCAUGAAUUCCUUAUGCUGACGGGAGACAAAAUUUACAGCAGCAUACUCCAGCAGCGCAGCGAAGACAAAGAGCAGGCACACAGCCAUCCAGAUGUCAAUAGCCUUCACGUAGGACACCUGCAAUAUCCACCAACAGAGCGGUCAACUUUCUUGGAGUUCUUCCAUGCCUAUCGAGGGGUUUGCCAGCCCAUAUCCACUGCCUGCUGUUCUUCAGUUUUAUCUUGAAGUUCUGGUUUUUAAAGAUGCUUUUCCAUGAUAUAUGCCAGUGUCUGAAGGCCCAUGUCAAAGAGAUGCUGCUACCCAUAAUCCUUUACCUCUCUGCACUCUCCACCCUCAACUUCCAUCUGCCUUUCCUUUCUAAGCUUCUUUUCCUUUCUUUAUUCUUUUUGCACCUCUGUUUCUGCUGCUUCUGCUUCUUCUCAUUUUUUUUUCUUUUGAUUCUUUUCUUGCAGUAAACACCAAUGAGCAUGAAUAUUGCAUUUCUUUGUCCUCUGUUAUCUCCUAGGGUCCUCACAGCUACGGUGGGAAUAGGGCAGGGCUUGUCACUCCCACAGGAGCCAUGUGAGGACACUUGGGGCCUGGGGAGGAAAAGUCUUAGCCAAGAUCACCCAGUGAGAAGGUGGCAUGAGGGCUUGGGUGUUCUGGGCUUCCAGAUAGUGGCACUGCCAUUUACCUAGGCUGCUGUGUCAAUAUCAGAUGAGGAGUUUGUCCUUUCCCACCUCCACCCCUGUCGUUCCAUUGACCCUGUGGUUUUUCCUGCUGUUCUUUGUGGAAGGCCCUACUCAGGAACUGAAGUCAGUGGCUCAAGGGAGCACACCCAACCUGGGCUAUGGACACUUCUCUAAAUUCAAGGCACUGUUGGUAUCUGCUUAUCCAGUCCCUAGUGCUCUCUUCCCCUUACCUGCCUUGGCAGCCUUUGAGUACUUUUGUCUCCCAUUCCCCUGUGAAGACUGAACAUUCACCUCUCCUGGAGGAGUGUUGUGGCUGGGUGUGGGGCCAGGAAAGUGGAGACAGAACUCAGGUUUAAGAAGUCUUUUUCCCUCCUCAACCAGAUCCACUACCUACAUGGUUUUAAGCUGCUGAGCUCACCCUAUGGGGCUGCCCAGCAGGAGUCAGAUGCAUGACAACCUCUUUCACCAGCCUCUGCUAGGUUGGGCUGUGAGGGCGCUGCAGAGUCCAGGUAAGGAGCAGAUCUACUGGGAUAAACGUUCCACCUCAGUGGUUCUUAACUCUUUCGGCACCCACCAGGGGCAUUUGGUUGCACAGUUCUGGGCUGUGUGUGGCUACCAGCACCUAGUGGUAGAGGCAGAGUUCUGCUAAACAACCUACAAUGUGCAGCACAGCCCCCCCCAAAUCCCCCAGGAUCACGCAGGGAAGAGUUAUUCAGCCCCACAUGGCAAUUGUGCUAAGGUUGAGAAAGCCUGCUCUGUCUUCUUUAAAGUGAUUCAGCUGAGGUGGUAGUGGUGGGUUGCUAGGCAAUCCUGAUUAAGUACCCCUUGGUAUUUCCAUUUGCCCCCUAAUAAGAGGGUAUCCUGUUUCAUUCACCAUCUCUCAGUCCCACUGUGCUCCCAGGGAAGUCAGGUGACAUGACAGUCCAUAAUGAGGGCAUAACAAGGGGGGUCCAUGAAGGGCUUUGGACCAUGAAAAGGAAAGGACACCAUAAACAGCAGGAAGAAAGUCUUGUUAACAACGAAUGUGUCAAUAAUGCACUUUUAAAUAGUGCUGGAAUCCAUCCACUCACUAUCGUAGCUCAUCUCAGGGAUGAUUUCCUAAAUAGUCUCUCUAUAUCUAUGUUUGCCUCCUCUGAUCUGUUCUACAAACAGCAGCCAGAGUUUUGUUUUCAAAAUGUAAAUCUGAUCAUAUCAUUCCUCUGCCUACAAUCCUCCAGUGGCACACCAUUACUUUGAUGAUAUAAUCUGUGUUUCCAUGAGCAUGGCAUCUAGCCCCUGUCCAUUUCUUCAGCUUUAUCUCACCUCUUGCAAUCUAUGACUCUGCCAUGAUGAACUAUUUCAGUCAUUUCCAAAUAAGGGGACAAUUUCUCUCUCUGUCUUUCUCCUUCACCUUGACAACUCUGACCUAAACAUUCACUUUAGAUACCACAUCCUUUGGGAAACCUUGCCUAAUUGUCCCAGUCUGGGUUGGUUGCCCCUGCUAUAUGUGCCCAGGUUCUUCUUCUUACAGCUUCUUAGUAGCCAUCAAAUGUCCCUGGCCACUUCCUUCACUAGACUGACCGCUCUUCAAUGGCAGGGACCUGCUCCUAUCAUGUUCACUCUUCCAGCCCUAGUGCCUGGCCAAGUGCACAUAGUAAAUAUUUUGGAAUGAAUGAGUGGAUGAAUGGGUGGAUGAUUUAGCAAUGUGUUUGUCUCUGUGGCCUUGUUUUCUCUCUUGACCCUCCUUGCUACUACCUGCCCCAGAAGCUGUAGGCCAUUUAGAUUACAGGGUUUCAAGAGAAUUGAGUCCCUCCUUCCUGCUAUGACUUUAGCUCUAAUCUGUCUGUCUCUAGUAGAACUUUCCAUUUAGCCCUUCCAUUCUGCUCUGAGCCACCUACAGUUAGUGUAGAUCAAGAACAUGGCAAGAGACAGUGAUCAAUGCCUUUGGGAGUCCCCAGAAAAGUAAAGAAGGAGUGGCUUUCUGGGAGCAUGGGGAAUGUCCAUCCCAACUGGGUUCCCUCACAAACUGAGCCUCUGCUUCUCUCAUCUGGACACUAGAGUUUGAUUUGGGGUGUGAUUAUUGCGGCUUUCAGAAACCCCUGACCUGGCCCCCCUUUCCUUGGAGCUCCCACCAAAUAAUGUUGCACAAACUCAAGAGUGAGCAGAAACCCCCGGACUUACUCAGUUAUUUGCUCUGUGGGGUUGGCCAGUGAGGCUGUUAAGUACAUAUUUUGCUUACUAGCUGAUGAGGUCACAAAAAGCUCAUCAAAACCUGAUGAGAUCAAAAUUAAAAAUUAAAAAAAAACUAAAAAAAAAAACCUAAUGAGAAGGCACCAAAUACAAAUGAGGAAAGUAACUGAUUCCUGGGAGGGAGCAGACGAAUUGUGCUUGCUCACAGGAGACACCUGGAAAAUGAAGUUCUCUUGGCAAGAACAAGGCAUGAAUUGCAGCACCUCCCUGAAUUACAGAAGAAUCCCCUUUUUGCAUGGCAGUGGCAAUAAACUAGGGCAGAAUUCUUGGAUCUGAACUACUUUUCUGCCUCUGGUCUUCCUACAAGGCCAUUCCCAUCACAUGAUCAUUGCAGCUGCAAUUGGCCUGUAGCCUUUGCCUAAGCUCAGGCUGCCUCUCAGAGCCUCUUCAGCAUCUCUGUUUAGAAAACACAUUUAUAGGAAAUGCUGUCUGACAACUUCCCCAGGGACACUUGAUCCUAAUCUGACCCUUGUCACUGUUUAUCUCUAGAGAGCUCUGAAACACCACAAAGGUUUCCCACCUUUAACCAGCUGCUUUAGCCCUAGGUCCAGCACUCAGUUCUUUCCACCCAGAUAUCUAAAACAACUAUAACACCAGCUAACAUUUAUUGAGCAGUUAUUAUGUGCCAAACACUGUUCUCUGUGUUAAUAUAUUAUCUUAUUUAUUUUUUGCAAUAACCCUAUAGAAGAGGUGAUAUUCUUAUUCUUUUAUUACAGACAAGGAGAUUGAAAGGUUAAGGAAUUCACCAAAUGGUGAAGCUGACACUUAAGCCGAAAUCUGCCUGACUCUAUAAUCUCCUACUCUUAACGACUAUAUUCUUAGGAAUAAGCACUGGGAGAUGGGAUAUCACAUGGCCUGGUUCCCAUCAAAUCAGAGCAAGAGGGAGUAUGUUCACUGAAAGAUCCACAAGGAACUGUGCUGCUUUCAUCUCUCAGUCUUUCUUCAUGGCCCUAGUACAGUGUCUGGUACAUAGUAUAUGCUCAAUAAACAUUUAUUGGAUGAAUGAAUGGGCUUGCUCCCUGAUUUCUCAUGGCCUUGCAAACUGUAAGGACUUUGAGGUAAUUUCUAAAUUCCCUACACAAAGACAUGAGGCAGGGAGACCCUGGGCCCAGUCCCAUCAGCACAGAUCUCUCCGUGUAAUAAAAACAUCGCCAGGCCUCAGAAAAUCAGAGUCCACUGGCUUUAAUUGCCAUUUUCUACCUCAGAAUCUUCUCACUUCCCAAAACGGACAUUGUCUCUAGAGCUCUUUGGAUACAUAAUAGUAUCCAAUUUAUGACAUAGUAAGAAACAAAUAUUGGUUUGAAAUCCUUCUAUUUUUUUUAUUACCUCUUGUGGGACAUGACCCUGAGUAGGUCAUUGUAUCUCUUGGGGCUGUAUUCUUCUCAUCUGUCCCAUGAAGGAGUGAGACUUUCUACUCAUUUAGGGUCUUUUGAUCUUGGACAUGCUAGUAUUUCUUGAUGAAAGUCAAAGUAAGUCAGGUACUGUCUCUACUCGUUCCUUAGACCCCAGCUUCUACAUUGUGAAUAAUGUCAUUAAUAGUAUGUUGUAGGGAAAGAGAGGACUCAAGCCACCUGCUCUUGUCCAGUACCUCUUCUAUACCUUAGCUCCAAGGCAAAUAGUGAGAAGGAAGGAACAGGGGAUCAGUGGGAACUGGGGAGCUCUGUGGCAAACAAGCUCCCUGGCG